UGGGGGUGCAGGUGUCGACAGGAGAGAUGCACGUUCGUGUGGACGUGAGAAGAACAAAAUGGGUUUUUCGAAAAACUCUUCUACUCUCCUGCACACACCUUCUUCUUACCAUGCUCAGACCUUCCAUUUCUCCUCCUUCUCUCUAGAAAACCUUUUCUUCUCUCUACUGUAACUCAACUUCUUUUUCUCCGAUCAACUUUCAGAGACCGUAGAAGAGAUCCCGACGUCCUAAGCUUUCCUUUAAACCGAACAAGUUCACGUUUGAAGCUGAUUUGAGUUGGAAGAGUUAAGUGACCAUUGAGGGUAGAUAAACGUUAGUUGGACGAGCCACAAAUCUUGCGUUUAGGACAAGUUGCUCACAAAUCCAGCACACGGCCUAAGGGAAAUUGAGUUUGGAAUGCUGCUGCCACAUCAAGCUCCAAGUGUCACGGCCUCCACCAUUUAUUUCUCCAACAAAGCUGCACUCCAAGCACAUGAUUUCUUCUUAGUACAAUAUGACUUGGACAACAUUAGAGUAUGGAGAGAGGAGUGGAAGUGACAUGGGAUGGACUGCACAUCACGGCAUUGUGGGGGACACCAUGUCCCACACACACUCAUGGCUAUAGCAAGGAAGUGGGAGACACCAUCACGGCACAUGGAUAGCUUGCAAAUUUGAAGUGGAAUUGGUGUGAUAAAUGUGCAAAAGAAAGAAACGUUGAAGCAAAAGAGAGUAUUGUCACAUGUUGUCACCAAACGGACACAACUCUUGGAAAAAUGGACAGCACCAUGCCUUCUUUCUUUUAAAGUAUUUGGUGCAGCAGAGUUGCAUGGAGAGCCCAAGUGUCACGGCCUUACACAACACACAUGGCUGUACAUGAAUGGGAGGAAUGCAUUUUUUUAAUUAGAAGAAGAAGAGCACACGGUCAUGAUCAAGAAAAAUUUGAUAUGGAAGAGUGUCUAGUCCAACCGUGACUUUGGAGGAAGAAAAAUAAACAAAGGAAGUGUGGCAUUUGAAUAAAAAUUGGAGGAGCUUCAUGUGAUGAAGAGGAAGCACGGCAUGGAAGAAGAGUGCAGCAUGGAUGAAUAAAAAAAUAGGAGUGCAGCAUGCGCACUAGGAGGAAGCAUAUGGUGAGUGCUGAAUUGUAAUCCACAAAUGUUUUCAAAUUAUUUCUGGAAGCUUGAACGAAGCAAGUGUCAUGCCACGGCUUGCAUUCUUUCAUCCAACCAUUAACACUUACACAUGAAGAAAGUGGGGAGCAAGAUUUUCAAUUGAAUAUUAAGAAGCAAGGAGAAGGUAUGCACGUUCAUAAUGAAAGGAAGAAAAUUUAGAGUAUUCAAUUGGUGUAGUGCACAUGCCACGGCUGCACAUCAUAGUGGAGAGCACUCCUUGUUUUGUUGUGAUUGAAGAAGAGUUGGAAGAAUUUGCUGGAAGGAGCACACGGCCAGGGCAGCCAACACUUGGAAGAAUCUCCUUUCUCUUUUGGAAGUGGAGACAACAAUAAUGAAAAAGAAGGGACCACCAACACAUCUUCAUCUCACGUUUAUUUUCUAGCUGCUGCAAAAAAAAGGGAUUAUAAAUUUUUCACAGUUCGGAGUUUUUAUUGACCAGAGGACAGAUUCGGUUAAGAGUUUUUGGAAGGGAGAAAAAAAAAACCGUGAGCUAGAGAUGGUUCUGAGUUUUUGGACGUGAGGCAGAUAGGAGAGUUUGGAGAGGAAGGAGGCCGAGAGGUUCCUAGUUUGGAAGGAGGCCGUGAGAUCAUUGGAGCUGGAGGAAAGAAACCGUCACUGUUGGAAGGAAUGGAGGAUGAUCUUGCUUGAAGUUCUUCUUGCCUUCUCAUUUGGUUUUGUACACCUUUCCAUUUAAGUUUUUGUUCAUCUACUGUUAUAUAUUCUGUUUGUGAAAGUUGUUAUUGUAAUUUGAGAGUUUUGUAGUUUUA